rnacentral:rRNA from 1 species
GUCGAGCGAACGGACGAGAAGCUUGCUUCUCUGAUGUUAGCGGCGGACGGGUGAGUAACACGUGGAUAACCUACCUAUAAGACUGGGAUAACUUCGGGAAACCGGAGCUAAUACCGGAUAAUAUUUUGAACCGCAUGGUUCAAAAGUGAAAGACGGUCUUGCUGUCACUUAUAGAUGGAUCCGCGCUGCAUUAGCUAGUUGGUAAGGUAACGGCUUACCAAGGCAACGAUGCAUAGCCGACCUGAGAGGGUGAUCGGCCACACUGGAACUGAGACACGGUCCAGACUCCUACGGGAGGCAGCAGUAGGGAAUCUUCCGCAAUGGGCGAAAGCCUGACGGAGCAACGCCGCGUGAGUGAUGAAGGUCUUCGGAUCGUAAAACUCUGUUAUUAGGGAAGAACAUAUGUGUAAGUAACUGUGCACAUCUUGACGGUACCUAAUCAGAAAGCCACGGCUAACUACGUGCCAGCAGCCGCGGUAAUACGUAGGUGGCAAGCGUUAUCCGGAAUUAUUGGGCGUAAAGCGCGCGUAGGCGGUUUUUUAAGUCUGAUGUGAAAGCCCACGGCUCAACCGUGGAGGGUCAUUGGAAACUGGAAAACUUGAGUGCAGAAGAGGAAAGUGGAAUUCCAUGUGUAGCGGUGAAAUGCGCAGAGAUAUGGAGGAACACCAGUGGCGAAGGCGACUUUCUGGUCUGUAACUGACGCUGAUGUGCGAAAGCGUGGGGAUCAAACAGGAUUAGAUACCCUGGUAGUCCACGCCGUAAACGAUGAGUGCUAAGUGUUAGGGGGGUUUCCGCCCCUUAGUGCUGCAGCUAACGCAUUAAGCACUCCGCCUGGGGAGUACGACCGCAAGGUUGAAACUCAAAGGAAUUGACGGGGACCCGCACAAGCGGUGGAGCAUGUGGUUUAAUUCGAAGCAACGCGAAGAACCUUACCAAAUCUUGACAUCCUUUGACAACUCUAGAGAUAGAGCCUUCCCCUUCGGGGGACAAAGUGACAGGUGGUGCAUGGUUGUCGUCAGCUCGUGUCGUGAGAUGUUGGGUUAAGUCCCGCAACGAGCGCAACCCUUAAGCUUAGUUGCCAUCAUUAAGUUGGGCACUCUAAGUUGACUGCCGGUGACAAACCGGAGGAAGGUGGGGAUGACGUCAAAUCAUCAUGCCCCUUAUGAUUUGGGCUACACACGUGCUACAAUGGACAAUACAAAGGGCAGCGAAACCGCGAGGUCAAGCAAAUCCCAUAAAGUUGUUCUCAGUUCGGAUUGUAGUCUGCAACUCGACUACAUGAAGCUGGAAUCGCUAGUAAUCGUAGAUCAGCAUGCUACGGUGAAUACGUUCCCGGGUCUUGUACACACCGCCCGUCACACCACGAGAGUUUGUAACACCCGAAGCCGGUGGAGUAACCUUUUAGGAGCU